UCCCACAUGCCCAUGUUCAUAUGGUGUAGAGUUGGAAUAGACCUACUCUGGUCCCUUAUGCUUAACAUGAAGAAGGCCCAGUAAUUUCAUGUAAGUUGUUCAAGGUCUCACCGCUGGUUAAUUCUGACUCAAGACAUGCUGACUCUUCUUCCUUGUCUACCUCCUAAGUAGGGGUAUUACUCAGGGUUUCCUGGGUCCCUCUAUGUGCUCUUUGGGAAACCUACAUAUGGAGUACUCCUGUAUUUCUAUUUCGAUCUCUUUCCUAAACUCCACUUCCACCAGCCCCCUAAAAUUUGUCUAUAAAGAUUGUCUCAUGGCACUUCAGACCAAGUUAAAUUCAACAUUCUCCCCACCUCUCCAAUACACUCUCACUCUUUCUCCUUCUCUGCUAUUUGUAUUAAUGGCACAAUUAUCUACUCAAUGGCCCGAGCAAGAACUUCAGUCAUCCAGGACUCCUCUUGCUUUAUCAUCCCAUUCUAAUAGGCUAGCCAAUCCUGUCAGUUCUUCCUUCUAAGUAGCCCUUAACUUCAUCUUCUACUCUCCCUGCAUUGCUCUGCUUCAGACAAUCCUUUGUAAUGUAUUGUUUUUCUCUUAUUAUGGCCUCAUUUAUGCAAUGUGUGUUUACUAAGUGCUUUGCAUAUGCUAGACCAUAGAGAAAACUAACCAGAUGCAGGAAUAGAGAAUGAAGAAGGAACACUUAAUAAAGGAGGGACGUCUGGGAGGGUCCUUCUCAGGAGAUGACAUUUAAGAUAAGACAUAAUGGAUAGGAAGGAAUCAAAAUAUUAAGACACAAGGCUUCCCCUUUUCCAGGCAGAGUAGGCGGCAGAUACAAAGAUCCCAAGUUGGGAAAGAUCCAGAGUGCUUGAGAAACUGAAAGGAGGCCCGUGUGCCUUGAAGGGGCAAUGUGAGUGGGCCUAGAGAUGACAGGAGAUGUGGUGCAAGAGAUAAACUAAGAUCACAUCAAGAAACAUGUUCCAGACGAUGGUGAUGUCUUUGGAUUUAUUUUAAGUGUGAUAGGAAACCAUUGUGGACUUCUGAGCUAGGGACUAACAUCAGCUGAUUUACGUUUUUCUAAGAUCACUUUGGCUGCUGCUGUGUUGAGAAUAGACUAUAGAGAGGCAAGAUGGGAAGCAAGGAAGCCAGUUAGGAUGCUACAGCAGGAUUCCAGGCAAGAUAUCAUGGUGGCUUUGAUGAAGAUGGUGAAAAGUAGUUGUUGGAUUUGGAAUAUCUUUUGAAGGAAGAUUUGAAAAAGACUUACUGACAGGUCCAUUUGAUAGGUCCUGCUUGAGUUUUUGGCCCAAGCACCUGGGUGGAAUUAUAGGGAAUUUCUAGGAGGAAAUUAAUAGUUCUCUUUUAGACCGGAGUCAAGUAGGCAACUGGAUGUAUCCAUCUGGAGUGCCUGGAAGACACUGGAGCUGGAGACUUGGGAGUUAUGUAUGCACAUUUGGUAUUUAAAAUCCUGUGAUUGGAUGAAAUUCCUUAGGGAGAGUGUUCAGAGAGAAAAGAACACAAGAUCAAAAUACAUUCAGAGGUUGGGAAAAGGAAGAUGCAGCAAAGGAGACUGAGAAAAGUAACCAGUGGAACAAGAAGAAAAUCCCAGGAGGGUAUAUAUGCCAGAAUCUGUGGAAAGAAACUAUAUCAAGAAGGAGGAAAUGUUUAUGUCAAAUGUUACUGAGAAUUGGAAUAAGUUGGGAACUGACAAUUGAAGAUUGGAUUUGACAAAAUGAAGCUAACGUGACUCUGGACCCAGACACUGCCAACUUUGAAUGCUUUCUGUCUGAAGAUCGCUGAAGUGUGGGGAGGAAAAACACACAGAAUGAUCUCCCUAAAACACCUGGAAAAUUUUUUCCUGACCCUUAUGUGCUGGCCCACGAGUCCUCCUUUUCAGGGAGACGUUAGUGGGAGGGAGAAGUGGGCGACAGGACUUAUUGGGAGCUUGGGGUUUGUGAGGAAGACACAGAAUGGACGUGGGGAAUCACAGAGUCAUCUCAAAAUGGAUUCUGGGCCGUAGAACUGUAUGCUAAUAAGUAUCAGGCCCUCACGUCCCCUGGGAUCCUCCUCCUCCUGAGCAAGCCACCCAGACAGGUGGGGAUUUUCUUGGACUAUGAGGCUGGGGAUAUCUCCUUCUAUAGUGUGGCUGAUGGGUCCCACAUCUACACCUUCCUCCAGAUCUCUUUCUCUGGGCCCAUCUGGCCUUUCUUAUUCUUCUGGUUCUAUCACACGACCCCUCUGACCACCUUCCUCUGAGGCCAUCAGUCCCCAGACUUUCUCUCAGUUGAACCUCCAGGGGAGAACUGGGCACGGAGUUGAGGAGCUGCUUCUAGGGACAACUGUCCCAGAGCUCCACCAGAGCCAGCUGUGUAGGUGGAGCACUUCUGACCUUUGCUCUCAGAGCUGCAGCCAUUCUUGCCCAUUUCUCCAUGGGACUGGACAUAGCAGGGGACAGUUUAUAUGCUCCAGGGCUAAACAGUACAGAGGGCCAGAAGGACAAUCCAGCCCUACCAAGUCUUGUUAAGAAGUGUGUCUGGUGUUGCCACCCCAGCUGGAAACUGAAAAAGGAACCUCAAGAGACAAGAAAUACUGAUGGAAACAGUAAAGACUAGUGGCCUGGACAGUGAUCUCUGACCUUGAUCUCCUGGAUCCUCAUAAAGAAAAGAAAGGCCAAGGCCCACAAGCAGUGGUUGUCUUGAAUGCAGGAAGCUAGAUCUGGAAGGGGCUUUGCUGUUUUCAUAGUCUUUUCAUUCAAGGACUUUAUUUCAUUUUGACCACAUGCAACCCUGAGAGAUACUAAAUAAACAGCACAGAGGAAAGUAUCUUCUCCAGAUCACCCUGCUGUUCCGGGACUUGAUGCUACAUUCAACAUUCUUACACCUGAUGCCACAUCCUACCACCUCUGAAAAUCCAGUCAUUCCUUGUCAAGAAAUUUCAGGGACCCUUUCAAUGACAUCUUUCACUCCAGAUUUUUCAAGAUUUCUUUUCUGGUUUGUGAAUUCAUUUACUGCUCCUUUCCCUGAAUAACUUCCUACCUUUAAAAUAUUUUACUUCAUCAACAGUUAAGUACAUAUUCUUUAACUUUUUUCUAGGGUUAUACAAAUACACACACACACACACAUACACACACAGUUUUUCUAAUGAAAAUCGGACCUUCUAUCUAUAUUGUUCCAUGACAUGCUUCUUUUCAAAAACUAAACAUUAGACGCUAAUCUUAUACUAUUCAUAAUUGAGAUGGUUUUCUUUCUUUGCUGUACAAAUAAUGCUUCUAUAACAUCUUUGCAUGUAAAUUGUAUUGCAUAGCUCUGUUUACUUCCACAGAAUAAAUUUCCAAAUGGCAUUGGU